GACGAACGCUGGCGGCGUGCUUAACACAUGCAAGUCGAACGGGCCUGUCUUCUUUUUUGGGGGGUGGGUUGAGUGGCGAACGGGUGAGUAUCACGUGAGUAACCUGCCCUUCGGUCCUGGAUAACCGCUUGAAAGGGCGGCUAAUACGGGGUGGUCCGGUUGGUCCGCAUGGGCUGGUCGGGAUAGAUUCACUGUUUUUGGUGUUUCGGCGGGGGAUGGGCUCGCGGCCGAUCGGCUUGUUGGUGGGGUGAUGGCCUACCAAGGCGGUGACGGGUAGCCGGCCUGAGGGGGUGGGCGGCCGCACUGGGACUGCGGUACGGCCCAGACUCCUGCGGGAGGCAGCAGUGGGGGGUAUUGCACAAGGGGCGGAAGCCUGAUGCAGCGACGUCGCGUGAGGGAUGGAGGCCUUCGGGUUGUGAACCUCUGUUUCCGGUGGUGAAGGCCCUGUCCGUGUGGUGGGGUUGACGGUAGCCGGGGAUGAAGCGCCGGCUAACUACGUG
rnacentral:rRNA from 1 species